GAAAUCCUGCCUGAAAAGGUUGAAGCCCAACCAUCAGUAGCGAGUCUUGAACCGAACAAAGCAAUUUGGGCGGUUAAGCGUAGACAGGUAGGAUGUAGGCCUGAAAGUGAUAGAGCCCCGAAAUGAGUAAGAUGGGAAGGUCGACGACAUCGGAAUAUCGGAAGACAACAUCGCAACCAUCGAUACGGGCGAGAUGGUCGCGGCUUCCCCGGGGUCGUAGAGCC
rnacentral:ncRNA from 1 species